GAUGUAUAGGAGCUGACGCCUGCCCGGUGCUGGAAGGUUAAGGGGAGCUGUUAGAGCAAUCGAAGCAGUGAACUUAAGCCCCAGUAAACGGCGGCCGUAACUAUAACGGUCCUAAGGUAGCGAAAUUCCUUGUCGGGUAAGUUCCGACCCGCACGAAAGGCGUAACGAUUUGGGCACUGUCUCAACAACAGACUCGGUGAAAUUGUAAUUCCGGUGAAGAUGCCGGAUACCUGCGACAGGACGGAAAGACCCCAUGGAGCUUUACUGUAGCUUGACAUUGGGUCUUGGUACUACAUGUACAGGAUAGGUGGGAGGCUUUGAAACCAGGACGCCAGUUUUGGCGGAGCCAUCCUUGGGAUACCACCCUUGUAGUACUGGGACUCUAACCAUAGGCCAUGAAUCUGGUCUUGGGACACUGUCAGGUGGGCAGUUUGACUGGGGCGGUCGCCUCCCAAAAGGUAACGGAGGCGCUCAAAGGUUCUCUCAGUACGGUCGGAAAUCGUACGUAGAGUGUAAAGGCAAAAGAGAGCUUGAUUGCAAGACAUACAGGUCGAGCAAGGAUGAAAAUCGGACUUAGUGAUCCGGUGGUUCUGCGUGGAAGGGCCAUCGCUCAACGGAUAAAAGCUACCCUGGGGAUAACAGGCUUAUCUCCCCCAAGAGUCCACAUCGACGGGGAGGUUUGGCACCUCGAUGUCGGCUCAUCACAUCCUGGGGCUGUAGUAGGUCCCAAGGGUUGGGCUGUUCGCCCAUUAAAGUGGUACGCGAGCUGGGUUCAGAACGUCGUGAGACAGUUCGGUCCCUAUCCGUCGCAGGCGUAGGAAAUUUGAGAAGACCUGUCCUUAGUACGAGAGGACCGGGAUGGACGUACCUCUGGUGUACCAGUUGUCCUGCCAAGGGCAUGGCUGGGUAGCUAUGUACGGAAUGGAUAAGCGCUGAAAGCAUCUAAGCGCGAAGCCAACUUCAAGAUAAGAUUUCCCACCGCAAGGGUAAGACCCCAGAAAGACUAUCUGGUUGAUAGGUCGAAGGUGUAAGUGCAGCAAUGUAUUUAGCUUAUCGAUACUAAUAGGUCGAGGACUUGACCAA
rnacentral:rRNA from 1 species